CUUUUAGUUUUCGCACUCUAACUUUAGUAAAAGUGAACAGAAAUCUAUGAAAUUUUAACACAAGGUUUAUGACCACAAAAGGAAGGUUGGGAUUGAUUUUGGGAGUGUUGGUCCCAACAUUUUAGGAAUUAGGGGCCAAAAAGGGCCCAAAUAAGCAUUUUCUUGGUUUUCGCACUAUAACUUUAGUUUAAGUAAAUAGAAAUCUAUGAAAUUUUGACACAAGGUUUAUGACCACAAAAGGAAGGUUGAGAUUGAUUUUGGGAGUUUUAGUUUAAACAGUUUAGGAAUUAGGGGCCAAAAAAGGGCCCAAGUAAGCAUUAUUCUUGGUUUUCGC
rnacentral:lncRNA from 1 species